rnacentral:rRNA from 1 species
UACGGAGGGUGCGAGCGUUAAUCGGAAUUACUGGGCGUAAAGAGUGCGUAGGUGGUUAGAUAAGUUAUCUGUGAAAUCCCUGGGCUUAACCUGGGCAGGUCAGAUGAUACUGUUUAACUCGAGUAUGGGAGAGGGUAGUGGAAUUUCCGGUGUAGCGGUGAAAUGCGUAGAGAUCGGAAGGAACACCAGUGGCGAAGGCGUCUACCUGGCCUAAUACUGACACUGAGGCACGAAAGCGUGGGGAGCAAACAGG